rnacentral:rRNA from 1 species
GGGAGGUAGUGACAAUAAAUAACAAUACAGGGCUCUUACGGGUCUUGUAAUUGGAAUGAGUACAAUUUAAAUCUCUUAACGAGGAACAAUUGGAGGGCAAGUCUGGUGCCAGCAGCCGCGGUAAUUCCAGCUCCAAUAGCGUAUAUUAAAGUUGUUGCAGUUAAAAAGCUCGUAGUUGAAUUUCGGGGUUCUUCCGUUGGUCAGGCUAACAAGUCUGUACUAGCGUGUAGAAUCUCUACCUUCUGGGGAACCAUCAUGUUAUUAAUUUAGCGUGGUGGGAAACCAGGACCUUUACCUUGAAAAAAUUAGAGUGUUCAAAGCAGGCUUACGUCUGAAUACAUUAGCAUGGAAUAAUAAAAUAGGACGGUGGUCCUGUUUUGUUGGUUUCUGAAUCACCGUAAUGAUUAAUAGGGAUAGUUGGG